rnacentral:rRNA from 1 species
CGAGGGUGCAAGCGUUGCUCGGAAUUAUUGGGCGUAAAGGGUUGGUAGGUGGUCUUGUUUGUCUCGGGUGAAAGCCCAGGGCUUAACCCUGGAAGUGCCCGAGAAACGGCAAGACUAGAAUCUUGGAGAGGCGAGCGGAAUUCCCGGUGUAGCGGUGAAAUGCGUAGAGAUCGGGAGGAACACCAGAGGCGAAAGGCGGCUCGCUGGACAAGUAUUGACACUCAACAACGAAAGCGUGGGGAGCAAACAGGAUU